rnacentral:rRNA from 1 species
UACGAAGGGGGCUAGCGUUGUUCGGAAUUACUGGGCGUAAAGCGCGCGCAGGCGGCUAUCCAAGUCAGUGGUGAAAGCCCGGAGCUUAACUCCGGAACUGCCAUUGAAACUGUUUAGCUUGAGGACGAGAGAGGUGAGUGGAAUUCCCAGUGUAGAGGUGAAAUUCGUAGAUAUUGGGAAGAACACCGGUGGCGAAGGCGGCUCACUGGCUCGUUUCUGACGCUCAGGCGCGACAGCGUGGGGAUCAAACAGG